AUUGAACGCUGGCGGCAGGCCUAACACAUGCAAGUCGAGCGAGUGGCGGACGGGUGAGUAAUGUAUGGGGAUCUGCCCGAUAGAGGGGGAUAACUACUGGAAACGGUGGCUAAUACCGCAUACUAUCGGAUGAACCCAUAUGGGAUUAGCUAGUAGGUGGGGUAAAGGCUCACCAGGGCGACGAUCCCUAGCUGGUAUGAGAGGAUGACCAGCCAGACGGGGAAGGAGACACGGCCCAGACUCCUACGGGAGGCAGCAGGGGGGAAUAGUGCACAAUGGGCGCAAGCCUGAUGCAGCCAUGCCGCGUGUAUGAAGAAGGCCUGAGGGUUGUAAAGUACUUUCAGCGAGGAGGCGUUACCCGCAGAAGAAGCACCGGCUAACUCCGUGCCAGCAGCCGCGGUAAUAC
rnacentral:rRNA from 1 species